UACGUAGGGUGCAAGCGUUGUCCGGAAUUAUUGGGCGUAAAGAGCUCGUAGGCGGUUUUGUCGCGUCUGCCGUGAAAGUCCGGGGCUCAACUCCGGAUCUGCGGUGGGUACGGGCAGACUAGAGUGAUGUAGGGGAGACUGGAAUUCCUGGUGUAGCGGUGAAAUGCGCAGAUAUCAGGAGGAACACCGAUGGCGAAGGCAGGUCUCUGGGCAUUAACUACGUGAGGAGCGAAAGCAUGGGGGAGCGAACAGG
rnacentral:rRNA from 1 species